UUUAUAAAGAGUUUGAUCCUGGCUCAGGACGAACGCUGGCGGCGCGCCUAACACAUGCAAGUCGAACGGAGCUUAGAGAGCUUGCUUUUUAAGCUUAGUGGCGAACGGGUG
rnacentral:rRNA from 1 species